AGCCUUUGUUAGAAUAUUCUGAUAAUGAUUCGAAGCUGGUACAGCUGGGAGAGAUUUCUUUCCUCCAGAUUUCUGGAGAAAUCACUCCAGUUGGGAGAGAUUUCUUUUCUCUUGCUUCUCUGAGCAGCUCUUUCAGGCUGCUCUGUGUUUCCUGGCAUUUUGCACAGAAGACCGGAUUGGGGAAAUAGUAAAACCGUGGUUCGUAUGACCACACAUUUUGCAGGCAGAAACGAUUUCCAGGUCCUGAUUUGUGGAACUGCCUCUGCAAGAAGUGCUUGAGGGCCAAUUACUUCUAUUUUGUGAGAAAGAUCGGUAACACACUGAGCAUUGUGCCCACUUGCUUGCUGUCUCCAAACUUGACACCCCAGCUGUGGGAAUGUGCCCUGGACAGGCCAGAGCUGCUGCUGUUUUGAUAUUCUUACUGCUUUGGCUUGCACAUACUGGGAUCAGACUGAGUACUUAAUUUACCCCCUUGCUCAAUAUUUUAUAAAGUAGCUAUAUUUCUCCAUUGAUAAUAAUGGUGUGCCUGUAUUUGCAAUUUGCAACUUCAAAGGACUAAAGAACUGGACUCAGACUUGAAGCACACAUGUAUUUUAAGGACUUUUUUUCCUAGGGAAAGAUGACCUGGGAAAAUUCUUGAAGUAAAGUUGAUGCUUCAUUGCAUAUUUCUGAACAUGUGAAACAAGCUUUGACAUGAAAAUGUUUUCGUGAUGGUAACUUAAAAAAGCCUCUUGCAAACACAAUAAUGUUGUAAAUAUGUUGCCUAGGCAUCUAAACACAUUUAGAAUGGUAUAUUACCCUCUUUGUUCUGUUUUGUUUUGACCUUUUUGUAAUAUCGUUUGUGGUCUGAUUCAUACCAUGCAGAAAACAAUUAAUGAAUGCUGAAUAUCUUUGUUUUUCUUGUCAUGUAAUCCUUACCCUUUUUCUAGACAAACACUAGUCAAAUCUGUUCAAACUUAAACAGGGGGGAUUUAGGUUCAAUGUAAGGAACAAGUUCUUUACUGUGAGGAUGGUAAGGCACUGGAAUGGGUUGACUAAGG